GAUGAACGCUAGCGGCAGGCCUAACACAUGCAAGUCGAGGGGUAGAGGAAGCUUGCUUCCUUGAGACCGGCGCACGGGUGCGUAACGCGUAUGCAAUCUACCCUUUACAGAGGGAUAGCCCAGAGAAAUUUGGAUUAAUACCUCAUAGUAUCUUUGCCUGGCAUCGGGUGAUUAUUAGAGUUCCAACGGUAAAAGAUGAGCAUGCGUCCUAUUAGCUAGAUGGUAAGGUAACGGCUUACCAUGGCAACGAUAGGUAGGGGUCCUGAGAGGGAGAGCCCCCACACUGGUACUGAGACACGGAACAGACUCCUACGGGAGGCAGCAGUGAGGAAUAUUGGACAAUGGGCGCAAGCCUGAUCCAGCCAUGCCGCGUGCAGGAAGACGGUCCUAUGGAUUGUAAACUGCUUUUGUACGGGAAGAAACACUCCUACGUGUAGGAGCUUGACGGUACCGUAAGAAUAAGGAUCGGCUAACUCCGUGCCAGCAGCCGCUGUAAAAC
rnacentral:rRNA from 1 species